AUGGCCCCAUCCCCAUCUCCCCUGUGUCCCGCGGGUCUCCGGGCGGCCGUGACCCUGCUGGAGUGCGGGGGGGACCUCCAGCCCCCCGGGGGGUCCCUGCGCCUCCUCUGCCGAGGGGCCGGGUUCAGUUUCAGGACUGUUGCAAUGGGCUGGUAUCGACAGAGACCCGGGCAGGGGCUGGAAUACAUUGCAGAUAUCAGCUACAGUGGUGGCAGCACCUGGUACGCGCCGUCGGUCAAGGGCCGGUUCACGAUCUCCAGGGACAACGGGCAGAGCUCGGUGACGCUGAUCAUGAACAGCCUCAAGGACGAGGAUUCCGGAUCCUAUUUCUGUGCCACCUUCACCCUUGGUGCCAAUUUUGGCGCCAAACCCUCAGGAUUCGGUGCCCCAGCGCGGAUCGUGACCCGGCCCUUGACCGACUGCGAGUAG